GACGAACGCUGGCGGCGUGCUUAACACAUGCAAGUCGAACGGAAAGGCCUUUUCGGAGGUACUCGAGUGGCGAACGGGUGAGUAACACGUGGGUGAUCUGCCCUGCACUCUGGGAUAAGCCUGGGAAACUGGGUCUAAUACCGGAUAGGACCGCACUUUAGUGUGUGUGGUGGAAAGUUUUUUCGGUGUAGGAUGAGCCCGCGGCCUAUCAGCUUGUUGGUGGGGUAAUGGCCUACCAAGGCGGCGACGGGUAGCCGGACUGAGAGGUUGGUCGGCCACAUUGGGACUGAGAUACGGCCCAGACUCCUACGGGAGGCAGCAGUGGGGAAUAUUGCACAAUGGGCGCAAGCCUGAUGCAGCGACGCCGCGUGGGGGAUGACGGCCUUCGGGUUGUAAACUCCUUUCGCCGGGGACGAAGCGUUUUGUGACGGUACCUGGAGAAGAAGCACCGGCUAACUACGUG
rnacentral:rRNA from 1 species